AGAUGAGGAGAGAAUCCUAAGGUGAGCGAGAGAACUCUCGUUAAGGAACUCGGCAAAAUGACCCCGUAACUUCGGGAGAAGGGGUGCUCUAUUAGGGUGCAAGCCCGAGAGAGCCGCAGUGAAUAGGCCCAGGCGACUGUUUAGCAAAAACACAGGUCUCUGCAAAACCGUAAGGUGACGUAUAGGGGCUGACGCCUGCCCGGUGCUGGAAGGUUAAGAGGAGUGCUUAGCUUCGGCGAAGGUACGAAUUGAAGCCCCAGUAAACGGCGGCCGUAACUAUAACGGUCCUAAGGUAGCGAAAUUCCUUGUCGGGUAAGUUCCGACCCGCACGAAAGGCGCAACGAUCUGGGCACUGUCUCAACGAGAGACUCGGUGAAAUUAUAGUACCUGUGAAGAUGCAGGUUACCCGCGACAGGACGGAAAGACCCCGUGGAGCUUUACUGCAACCUGAUAUGGAAUGUUUGUACCGCUUGUACAGGAUAGGUAGGAGCCGAAGAGACGUGUGCGCUAGCAUACGAGGAGGCAAUGGUGGGAUACUACCCUGGCUGUAUGACCAUUCUAACCCGCCACGCUUAGCGCGUGGGGAGACAGUGUCAGGUGGGCAGUUUGACUGGGGCGGUCGCCUCCUAAAGAGUAACGGAGGCGCCCAAAGGUUCCCUCAGAAUGGAUGGAAAUCAUUCGCAGAGUGUAAAGGCACAAGGGAGCUUGACUGCGAGACUGACAAGUCGAGCAGGGACGAAAGUCGGGCUUAGUGAUCCGGUGGUUCCGCAUGGAAGGGCCAUCGCUCAACGGAUAAAAGCUACCCCGGGGAUAACAGGCUUAUCUCCCCCAAGAGUCCACAUCGACGGGGAGGUUUGGCACCUCGAUGUCGGCUCGUCGCAUCCUGGGGCUGUAGUCGGUCCCA
rnacentral:rRNA from 1 species